rnacentral:rRNA from 1 species
AUGAUAAACAAUGUUUACAUGAUGGUAGAACUAAUCAGCACACUCACACAUAAAGGAAAGAAAAUCAUUCUACACCCUAUGUCUCCUGAGCAAAUUUUAAAAGAUGAUCUUGCUAGGGCUAGUAGAAACACAAAUACUGAGCGUACUAAAUCUGAAAAUCAGAAAGUUGUUGAUGAGUUAGAACAAUUUAAUAAGAUGCACAAAUCUGAUCCUAGCACAUCUAAAGAAAUUAAAUUGAAAGGUGCUUCUUUCUUAGCUACACGUGCUGGAAUUUUUGAGUUAGAUGCUCAUACUGAUGAAUGUUAUGCUCUUAUUUGCAAAGAAGUUUUGUUUUCAUUUGAGGAUAUGCCUUCUUCUUUGCCUCCUGUUGUCGCUAACCUUUUGCAGGAGUAUCAUGAUGUUUUCCCAAAGGAAGUACCACCGGGGCUGCCACCUAUGAGAGGAAUUGAACAUCAAAUUGACUUGAUACCUGGCGCCUCAUUACCCAACCGUGCGCCGUACCGGACUAAUCCUGAGGAGACUAAGGAGAUUCAGCGACAAGUUCAAGAACUACUCGAAAAAGGUUACAUUCGGGAAUCCCUUAGUCCAUGUGUUGUACCAAUUUUACUUGUUCCUAAAAAAGACGGUACUUCACGUAUGUGUGUUGAUUGUAGAGCCAUCAAUAAUAUAACAAUUCGAUAUCGUCAUCCAUAG